rnacentral:tRNA from 1 species
GUUCCUAUCGUCUAGUGGUAAGGACUCUGCCCUUUCACGGCAGUAACGUGGGUUCGAAUCCCAUUGGGAAUA